UUACAAAAUUCAUCUUGAAAACGUUGACAGCUCUAGGCUCUGCUGUCCCCACAUUCUUUUCUUUCUCUGUUCUAGAGUCCUUUCUUGGAAAUAUUCCCCCAAAAAAUCUACCCUACUCUAACUCUGAGGCUUUCCCCAACAUAAUCAAGUCAAAAACAUUCCAAAGUAUAAAUUUUAAAACUCCAAAAAUGCAUGUAUUAGAAGUUUUUGUGCUACUUCUAUUGUUGUAAUGUUAUAUUUACAUUGUAGUCAUAAUAGCAAUAAUGUAUCUUUGUGACUGUUUUUCAUGUAUCUUCUCCCAGUUUGUGGUAUUGCUGUAAAUUACUCAUUGGUAUAUUUAAAAAUGAAGCACUUUUAUUUAGGCAUGCACCUCUUCAAGAAAACCCAAUGCAGAAAAUCAAAAUCAAACAAAUUUGGCAGUGAUUAUUUUCUUCACAAAAUGUAUUCAACAAAUAAAACUGAUUCUUAAAUAUCUAGCUUAUUCAUUAAUUUAAAACUAUUGAGCACUGUUAUGUGUCAGACACUAUUCUUAUGCUAGAAAAAGUGUAGAAUGAGAAUAAAAGUUUCUUGCCUUUUUUGUGUAUGGAACAAACUGUCUAACCUUUAUGUAUAUUUAAAAUAGAGCUCAUUUAAAGGGAAAUUAUUUCAAGAAUAUAUUUAUUGGAAAAAAAUCAAGGCAUAAACAGUGGGUAUAAACCACAGGCCACAAAUUCAACUGUGUGAGAAUUUAUAUUUUGCUUUGAUUAUUCAGCUUUACCUCUAAUUCCACUUGGAUAGCAGCACCUUACCCUUGUCAAUUCUUUGCUCCCCAUCCCUCCCUAAACAUCUCAGCAUUGUGCCUCAGAGUGGGAGUCUUCAGAAUGCCCGGGCAUGGGAGAAAGUACAAUCUAGUCCAUGCAGUCACUACUGAGAUGCUUUCUUUGUAUCUGAAUGGCCCUUUCGGAACCACCAGAAGCCAGAUCAUGAUAGAUCAGGUUGAGGAUGCAGAAAUAUUUCUACCGCUGUCUUGCCACAUGAGGCACAGAUAUUUCUGUAAAGCUGUCUAUGGCCCUUCUACCUAAAAGCCCAUGCACUCUUUUCCUAUCUUGGCCUUUCUACUUCCACCCUGGGACUCUGCCCAGAAGGAGAAAGAAAGAUAUAUUAUGUAUAUUUUUUCUUUUUGGCCAGGUUUCUAUUCUGUGGUACUUCUCUUCCUCCUCUUCAUCUCCCAAACACGCACACAUUUACACACUUGGCAAUGAAAAUAGGAUCUACUUUUACUUCAUUUUGUUCCCUCUCCCUUCCAUCCAUUAUAUUGAUCUCAUCUGAAGAGUUUGCCCUCUGUAUCUGCAGGUUCCACACCCAAAGAUUCAAUCAAUCAUUGACAUUGCUUCUUAAAUUUCAACAUUCUUCCUUCUCUUCUUGUUUUUCUUCUUCCUGGAGAACAUAUCCCAGUAAUUCUCUCAGAAAGGUCCAUUUAUUGCUAUUUUAUCCUUGAUGAAUAAGCUGACACCAGAGGCCACAAGUCUCAAAUGGCAAUUUAGUGAAGAACCAUAAUGUAGAAUUAGUGGGAGCCCUGAGCUUGUUUUCCUGCAACUAGACGGUCCUAUCUGGGGGUGACGGGGAACAGUGUCAGAUCAUCAGGCAUUAGAUUCUCAGGAGCACACAACUUAGGUUUCGAAUUUGCAGUUCAUCAUGGGGUUUGUUAUGAGAAUCUAAUCCUCCCACUGACCUGACAGAAGGCAGAGAGCAGGCGGUAAUGUGAGUGAUGGGGAGCAGCUGUAAACACAGAUGAAGCUUCGCUUGCUUGCCUCCUGCUGUGUGGCCUGGUUCCUAACAGGCCACA
rnacentral:lncRNA from 1 species